UUAAUAAGCGGAGGAAAAGAAACUAACCAAGAUUCCCUCAGUAAGGGCGACUGAAGCGGGAAGAGCCCAUGCGAAAUCUGCGCUGCUUAGCGGCGCCGAAUUGUGGUUGGAAGACACUUGCGUUACUGACCGAACCAAGUCCCUUGGAACAGGGCAGCUGAGAGGGUGAGACUCCCGUCUGCUUGGUCAUGUGAGCGAGUUGUCCACGAGUCGAGUUGUUUGGGAUUGCAGCUCUAAGUGGGUGGUAAAUUCCAUCUAAGGCUAAAUACUGGUGGGAAACCGAUAGCGUACAAGUACCGUGAGGGAAAGAUGCAAAGAACUUUGAAAAGAGAGUUAAAGAGUACCUGAAAUUGCUGAAAAGGAAGCAAAGGAAACCAGUGCUAGAUGCGCCAUACUUCUGUCACCGCUUGCGGUGGCAGCGCUGUGGCCAUCGAUGUCAGACUUGGUUUGGGUGGGCCGAAAGUGCGGGCUUCUGGGGAGUUUGUUCCCUGCUGCUUGCCGCGGCCGUCCUGAAUGAGACUGGCGAAAUGGUUUUCUUUUCCCCG
rnacentral:rRNA from 1 species